CGCGGGUAGCAAUACCUGGCGGCGACCGGCGAAAGGGUGCGUAACGCGUGAGCAACAUUCCCGUAUUUGGGGGAUAAGCAGUGGAAACGCUGUCUAAUACCCCAUAACAACAGUGACUGCAUGGUCACUGUUUGAAAGAUUCGUCGAAUACGGAUUGGCUCGCGUGGCAUUAGCUAGUCGGCGGGGUAACGGCCCACCGAGGCGACGAUGCCUAGGGGUUCUGAGAGGAAGACCCCCCACAUUGGGACUGAGACACGGCCCAAACUCCUACGGGAGGCAGCAGUGAGGAAUAUUGGUCAAUGGACGGAAGUCUGAACCAGCCAUGCCGCGUGAAGGAUGACUGCCCUAUGGGUUGUAAACUUCUUUUGCAGCAGAGCAAUAAGGUGUACGUGUACACCGAUGAGAGUAUGUUGCGAAUAAGCAUCGGCUAACUCCGUGCCAGCAGCCGCGGUAAUACGGAGGAUGCAAGCGUUAUCCGGAUUUAUUGGGUUUAAAGGGUGCGUAGGCUGUGCAUCAAGUCAGUGGUGAAAGACCGGGGCUCACCUCGGAAGUGCCAUUGAUACUGAUGUGCUGGAGUACCCCUGCC
rnacentral:rRNA from 1 species